rnacentral:rRNA from 1 species
AACGAACGCUGGCGGCAUGCCUAACACAUGCAAGUCGAACGAGACCUUCGGGUCUAGUGGCGCCCGGGUGCGUAACGCGUGGGAACCUGCCCUUAGGUUCGGAAUAACUCCCCGAAAGGGGUUCUAAUACCGGAUAAUGUCUUCGGACCAAAGAUUUAUCGCCUUUGGAUGGGCCCGCGUUGGAUUAGCUAGUUGGUAGGGUAAAAGCCUACCAAGGCGACGAUCCAUAGCUGGUCUGAGAGGAUGAUCAGCCACACUGGGACUGAGACACGGCCCAGACUCCUACGGGAGGCAGCAGUGGGGAAUAUUGGACAAUGGGCGAAAGCCUGAUCCAGCAAGGCCGCGUGAGUGAUGAAGGCCUUAGGGUUGUAAAGCUCUUUUACCCGGGAUGAUAAUGACAGUACCGGGAGAAUAAGCUCCGGCUAACUCCGUG